UACAGAGGGGCAAGCGUUGUUCGGAAUUACUGGGCGUAAAGGGCGCGUAGGCGGCCUGCUAAGUCGAACGUGAAAUCCCUGGGCUCAACCCAGGAACUGCGUCCGAUACUGGUUGGCUUGAAUCCGGGAGAGGGACGUGGAACUUCCAGGGUGUGAGCGGUGAAAUGCGUAGAUAUCUGGAGGAACACCGGUGGCGAAGGCGACGUCCUGGACCGGCAUUGACGCUGAGGCGCGAAAGCCA
rnacentral:rRNA from 1 species